UGGGGGAUAACGUUCGGAAACGAACGCUAAUACCGCAUACGUCCUACGGGAGAAAGCAGGGGACCUUCGGGCCUUGCGCUAUCAGAUGAGCCUAGGUCGGAUUAGCUAGUUGGUGAGGUAAUGGCUCACCAAGGCGACGAUCCGUAACUGGUCUGAGAGGAUGAUCAGUCACACUGGAACUGAGACACGGUCCAGACUCCUACGGGAGGCAGCAGUGGGGAAUAUUGGACAAUGGGCGAAAGCCUGAUCCAGCCAUGCCGCGUGUGUGAAGAAGGUCUUCGGAUUGUAAAGCACUUUAAGUUGGGAGGAAGGGCAUUAACCUAAUACGUUAGUGUUUUGACGUUACCGACAGAAUAAGCACCGGCUAACUCUGUGCCAGCAGCCGCGGUAAUACAGAGGGUGNAAGCGUUAAUCGNAAUUACUGGGCGUAAAGCGCGCGNAGGUGGUUUGUUAAGUUGGAUGUGAAAUCCCCGGGCUCAACCUGGGAACUGCAUUCAAAACUGACUGACUANAGUAUGGUAGAGGGUGGUGGAAUUUCCUGUGUAGCGGNGAAAUGCU
rnacentral:rRNA from 1 species